GCCUGGUGUGGUGGCAGCACACCUGUGAUCCCAGUGACUCAGGAGGCUGAGGCAGGAGGAUUCCAAACUGGAGGCCAGCCUCCAAAACUUAAUGAGGCCCUAAGCAACUUAGCAAGACCCUGUCUCUA
rnacentral:sRNA from 1 species